UACGAGGGGGGCGAGCGUUGUUCGGAAUCACUGGGCGUAAAGAGUGCGUAGGCGGUUAUGAAAGUUAGAAGUGAAAGCCCCAGGCUCAACUUGGGAAUUGCUUUUAAAACUCCAUAACUCGAAUUCGGGAGAGGAUAGCGGAAUUGUCAGUGUAGCAGCGAAAUGCGUAGAUAUUGACAGGAACACCAGUGGCGUAAGCGGCUAUCUGGACCGACAUUGACGCUGAGGCACGAAAGCGUGGGGAGCAAACAGG
rnacentral:rRNA from 1 species